CUCGUGAGCUGGCCAAGAGGCUCCAAGGCACCGGGGUCACCACCUACGCAGUGCACCCAGGCGUCGUCCGCUCUGAGCUGGUCCGGCACUCCUCCCUGCUCUGCCUGCUCUGGCGGCUCUUCUCCCCCUUUGUCAAGACGGCACGGGAGGGGGCGCAGACCAGCCUGCACUGCGCCCUGGCUGAGGGCCUGGAGCCCCUGAGUGGCAAGUACUUCAGGUGUGUGAAGGCAAUGCGGUUCUCUCCACCACCUGUGUGCAUGGGAGGUGCCGGACUCGCUGGGCUGUUCAUCCUGAGAAGCUGAGUUUGUGCCUGAUGAUGCAAUCCAGGUUUGGGUUGGGCCUGCAAACAGAAUGCCGUUGCUUUGUUAAGGAAACUUACAGUACAAACUUAUGUGUUGGGAAGAGUUGCUUUUCUGGCUUUAUUUUAUACUCGUGUGCCGCUUUUCCAUGAAAACUUUGCAGCUUUCUGAAAGCUUUUAAAGAAGACUGUCGCUGUUGGUUAUGCCAUGGAGAUCUGGAUCGUUUUUCUCCUUCUUUAAGCUUUUGGCUCACUUGAUUCAUGAAUUUUUAAAUACCAAUUAGC
rnacentral:lncRNA from 1 species